CCUAGGUGAAAGGAGCUGGAGGAGAGGAAGCAUUGCUGAAUCCUGAGCAGCGUCAUUGGAUUUUGUGCCACUUCCUGCUGUGGCCCUUCCUUGGUUCCCUCCUGCCACCUGUGGCAGCAAGACAGACUCUGAGAAAACGGGGGUCUUUGUCGUAUCCAAGACAUGGAGCAACACCAUAACUUUUGUUGAACAUCUUAUGCACUUGACAUUGCAGCCAGGGGAGAUAUCAAAUUCAGGAGAGCAGUACUUCAGUCUGACUGACUGCAGCUGAAACUUCUUACUCCCUAUGUCUUGGGAAGAUGCUGCUUGCCGCUCACCUACAGUGGGAUGUCAAAGAAGAAAGAACAGUUACUUAUCCUACAGAAACACUGGUUCUUUGAGAUGUAGUUAGUAUGGAUUCUCUGCCACUUUUCAGAGUCCUCGGCUGCACAGGCUGUGAAUUGGGGACGACCUGAGGGAGGAUUGCAACCACCUCAUCUUUUAUGCCCUUGUAUCGGAGUACAAUAGGCACAUGGGGCAUGCGGAUACUGCUGUUCAAAAGAAUCCAGUCUUGAGGCAAAUAGGCACCUAUAGUGGGAUCCACACUGGCAACAUGAUGUGAAGGACCACAGGUACUGUUGGAAAGAAGUUCAAAGGUGAGGAGACUCCCAGAGUGAAGGAUUAACUGGUAUCAUGUGCCUGGAAAAAUCAGAAGCCAGUAUUAGCAGUGAAUACUGUCCUGGAGCUCUGAUAAUUUAUUAUCCUCCAUCAACCCAAUCAGACAACAUUCACAGCCUCCCAUUACACUCCAUCCUAUUUAACUACAUUGUAUAGUGUUGAUUGUUGUGUGUAUAAAAGGUAAUAUGAUUACUCUUUGAUCACCUGAUGAUACAUCCAUGCUAAUG